GAUGAACGCUGGCGGCGUGCCUAAUACAUGCAAGUCGAGCGAACAGACGAGGAGCUUUCUCCUCUGACGUAAGCGGCGGACGGGGGAGUAACACGUGGAUAACCUACCUAUAAGACUGGGAUAAAUUCGGGAAACCGGAGCUAAUACCGGAUAAUAUAUUGAACCGCAAGGUUCAAUAGUGAAAGACGGUUUUGCUUUCACUGAUAGAUGGAUCCGCACCGCAUUAGCUAGUUGGUAGGGUAACGGCUUACCAAGGCGACGAUUCGUAGCCGACCUGAGAGGGUGACCGGCCACACUGGAACUGAGACACGGUCCAGACUCCUACGGGAGGCAGCAGUAGGGAAUCUUGCACAAUGGGCGAAAGCCUGACGGAGCAACGCCGCGUGAGUGAUGAAGGUCUUCGGAUCGUAAAACUCUGUUAUUAGGGAAGAACAAAUGUGUAAGUAACUAUGCACGUCUUGACGGUACCUAAUCAGAAAGCCACGGCUAACUACGUG
rnacentral:rRNA from 1 species